rnacentral:rRNA from 1 species
UACGUAGGGGGCAAGCGUUGUCCGGAUUUAUUGGGCGUAAAGAGCGUGUAGGCGGCCAAGCAGGUCCGCUGUGAAAACUCGAGGCUCAACCUCGAGAGGUCGGUGGAAACCGUUUGGCUAGAGUCCGGAAGAGGAGAGUGGAAUUCCCGGUGUAGCGGUGAAAUGCGCAGAUAUCGGGAAGAACACCCGUGGCGAAGGCGGCACUCUCGAUGGCGGUACUGACGCUGAGACGCGAAAGCGUGGGGAGCGAACAGG